CCUACGGGAGGCAGCAGUGGGGGAUAUUGCACAAUGGGGGGAACCCUGAUGCAGCGACGCCGCGUGGGUGAAGAAGCGCCUCGGCGCGUAAAGCCCUGUCAGCAGGGAAGAAAAUGACGGUACCUGAAGAAGAAGCCCCGGCUAACUAAGUGCCAGCAGCCGCGGUAAUACGUAGGGGGCAAGCGUUAUCCGGAUUUACUGGGGGUAAAGGGUGCGCAGACGGCGAUGCAAGCCAGGAGUGAAAUCUCCGGGCCCAACCUCGGGACUGCUUGUGGAACUGCUUGGCUGGAGUGCAGGAGGGGCAGGCGGAAUUCCUGGUGUAGCGGUGAAAUGCGUAGAUAUUAGGAAGAACACCGGUGGCGAAGGCGGCCUGCUGGACUGCAACUGACGUUGAGGCCCGAGAGCGUGGGGAGCAAACAGGAUUAGAUACCCCGGUAGUC
rnacentral:rRNA from 1 species